AAGACCUUGCGCUUUUGGAGCGGCCGAUGCCUGAUUAGCUUGUUGGUAAGGUAAAAGCUUACCAAGGCUUCGAUCAGUAGCUGGUCUGAGAGGACGACCAGCCACACUGGGACUGAGACACGGCCCAGACUCCUACGGGAGGCAGCAGUGGGGAAUUUUGGACAAUGGGGGCAACCCUGAUCCAGCCAUGCCGCGUGAGUGAAGAAGGCCUUCGGGUUGUAAAGCUCUUUCAGCCGGAACGAAACGGUUACGGAUAACACCCGUGACUACUGACGGUACCGGAAGAAGAAGCACCGGCUAACUACGUGCCAGCAGCCGCGGUAAUACGUAGGGUGCGAGCGUUAAUCGGAAUUACUGGGCGUAAAGCGUGCGCAGGUGGUUUUGUAAGUCAGAUGUGAAAGCCCCGGGUUCAACCUGGGAACU
rnacentral:rRNA from 1 species